UUUCCUACGGGAGGCAGCAGUGGGGAAUAUUGGACAAUGGGCGCAAGCCUGAUCCAGCAAUGCCGCGUGGGUGAAGACGGCCUGCGGGUUGUAAAGCCCUUUAGGCGGGGAGGAGCGACCGGGUGUUAAGAGCAUCGGAAAGGGACGUUACCCCCCAUUAAUUGCCCCGGUGUG
rnacentral:rRNA from 1 species